rnacentral:rRNA from 1 species
AUUGAACGCUGGCGGCAGGCCUAACACAUGCAAGUCGAACGAGUGGCGGACGGGUGAGUAAUGUCUGGGAAACUGACUGAUGGAGGGGGAUAAAUACUGGAAACGGUAGCUAAUACCGCAUACCAUCAGAUGUGCCCAGAUGGGAUUAGCUAGUUGGUGGGGUAACGGCGCACAAAGGCGACGAACCCUAGCUGGUCGGAGAGGAUGACCAGCCACACGGGAACGGAGACACGGUCCAGACUCCUACGUGAGGCAGCAUUGGGGAAUAUUGCACAAUGGGCGCAAGCCUGAUGCAGCCAUGCCGAGUGUAUGAAGAAGGCCUUCGGGUUGUAAAGUACGUUCAGCGGGGAGGCGUUACCCGCAUAAGAAGCGCCGGCUAACUCCGUGCCAGCAGCCGCGGUAAUAC